AGUCGAACGGGAAGAGAUGAAGAGCUUGCUCUUUAUCGAAUCCAGUGGCAAACGGGUGAGUAACACGUAAACAACCUGCCUUCAGGAUGGGGACAACAGACGGAAACGACUGCUAAUACCGAAUACGUUCCACGGGCCGCAUGACCUGUGGAAGAAAGGGUAGCCUCUACCUGUAAGCUAUCGCCUGAAGAGGGGUUUGCGUCUGAUUAGGCAGUUGGUGAGGUAACGGCUCACCAAACCAACGAUCAGUAGCCGGUCUGAGAGGAUGAACGGCCACACUGGAACUGAGACACGGUCCAGACUCCUACGGGAGGCAGCAGUGGGGAAUCUUCCGCAAUGGACGAAAGUCUGACGGAGCAACGCCGCGUGAGUGAAGACGGCCUUCGGGUUGUAAAGCUCUGUGAUCCGGGACGAAAGAGCCUGAGGUAAAUAGCCUGAGGAAGUGACGGUACCGGAAAAGCAAGCCACGGCUAACUACGUGCCAGCAGCCGCGGUAAUACGUAGGUGGCAAGCGUUGUCCGGAAUUAUUGGGCGUAAAGCGCGCGCAGGCGGCUUACUAAGUCCAUCUUAAAAGUGCGGGGCUUAACCCCGUGAUGGGAUGGAAACUGGAAAGCUGGAGUAUCGGAGAGGAAAGUGGAAUUCCUAGUGUAGCGGUGAAAUGCGUAGAGAUUA
rnacentral:rRNA from 1 species